rnacentral:rRNA from 1 species
GACGAACGCUGGCGGCGUGCUUAACACAUGCAAGUCGAACGGAAAGGCCCUGCUUUUGUGGGGUGCUCGAGUGGCGUACGGGUGAGUAACACGUGAGUAACCUGCCCUUGACUUUGGGAUAACUUCAGGAAACUGGGGCUAAUACCGGAUAGGAGCUCCUGCUGCAUGGUGGGGGUUGGAAAGUUUCGGCGGUUGGGGAUGGACUCGCGGCUUAUCAGCUUGUUGGUGGGGUAGUGGCUUACCAAGGCUUUGACGGGUAGCCGGCCUGAGAGGGUGACCGGCCACAUUGGGACUGAGAUACGGCCCAGACUCCUACGGGAGGCAGCAGUGGGGAAUAUUGCACAAUGGGCGGAAGCCUGAUGCAGCAACGCCGCGUGCGGGAUGACGGCCUUCGGGUUGUAAACCGCUUUCGCCUGUGACGAAGCGUGAGUGACGGUAAUGGGUAAAGAAGCACCGGCUAACUACGUGCCAGCAGCCGCGGUGAUACGUAGGGUGCGAGCGUUGUCCGGAUUUAUUGGGCGUAAAGGGCUCGUAGGUGGUUGAUCGCGUCGGAAGUGUAAUCUUGGGGCUUAACCCUGAGCGUGCUUUCGAUACGGGUUGACUUGAGGAAGGUAGGGGAGAAUGGAAUUCCUGGUGGAGCGGUGGAAUGCGCAGAUAUCAGGAGGAACACCAGUGGCGAAGGCGGUUCUCUGGGCCUUUCCUGACGCUGAGGAGCGAAAGCGUGGGGAGCGAACAGGCUUAGAUACCCUGGUAGUCCACGCUGUAAACGGUGGGUACUAGGUGUGGGGUCCAUUCCACGGGUUCCGUGCCGUAGCUAACGCUUUAAGUACCCCGCCUGGGGAGUACGGCCGCAAGGCUAAAACUCAAAGGAAUUGACGGGGCCCCGCACAAGCGGCGGAGCAUGCGGAUUAAUUCGAUGCAACGCGUAGAACCUUACCUGGGUUUGACAUGGAUCGGGAGUGCUCAGAGAUGGGUGUGCCUCUUUUGGGGUCGGUUCACAGGUGGUGCAUGGCUGUCGUCAGCCCGUAUCGUGAGAUGUUGGGUUAAGUCCCGCAACGAGCGCAACCCUUGUUCACUGUUGCCAGCACGUUAUGGUGGGGACUCAGUGGAGACCGCCGGGGUCAACUCGGAGGAAGGUGGGGAUGACGUCAAGUCAUCAUGCCCCUUAUGUCCAGGGCUUCACGCAUGCUACAAUGGCUGGUACAGAGAGUGGCGAGCCUGUGAGGGUGAGCGAAUCUCGGAAAGCCGGUCUCAGUUCGGAUUGGGGUCUGCAACUCGACCUCAUGAAGUCGGAGUCGCUAGUAAUCGCAGAUCAGCAACGCUGCGGUGAAUACGUUCCCGGGGCU